rnacentral:lncRNA from 1 species
ACCCCUAGAGCCCUUGCUAGCCGAGGGCGAGCUGCUGCAGGCAUGUCCCGGGCCACCCCCGGACCCAGGCCUGGCGUUGUCGCUGCCCAGCGAGCCUGGGACAGCUCAGGAGGAGGGUGCACGACUCCGGACGGUAUUCGAUGCCUUGGACAGGGAUGGGGAUGGCUUCGUCCGAAUCGAGGAUUUCAUCCAAUUUGCCACAGUCUACGGAGCUGAGCAGAGACAAGAUCUCACUAUGUAUCCCUGGCUGUCCUGGGACUCACAUUGUAGAUCAAACCAGCCUUGAAGUCACAGAGACCCUCCAUCUGGGAUUAAAGGCAUACUCACCAAACCCAGCCCUCCACUUGUUAUGAAAGGUUCAUUAUGGGCUGGAGAGAUGGCUCAGCGGUUAAGAGCACCCAACUGCUCUUCCAGAGGUCCUGAGUUCAAUUCCCAGCAACCACAUGGUGGCUCACAACCAUCUGUAAAGAGAUCUGAUGCCCUCUUCUGGUGUAUCUGAAGACAGCUACAGUGUACUUAUAUAUAAUAAAUGAAUAAAUCUU